rnacentral:rRNA from 1 species
CCUACGGGUGGCACCAGUGGGGAAUAUUGCACAAUGGGCGCAAGCCUGAUGCAGCCAUGCCGCGUGUAUGAAGAAGGCCUUCGGGUCGUAAAGUACUUUCAGCGGGGAGGAAGGCGAUAAGGUUAAUAACCUUGUCGAUUGACGUUACCCGCAGAAGAAGCACCGGCUAACUCCGUGCCAGCAGCCGCAGUAAUACGGAGGGUGCAAGCGUUAAUCGGAAUUACUGGGCGUAAAGCGCACGCAGGCGGUCUGUCAAGUCGGAUGUGAAAUCCCCGGGCUCAACCUGGGAACUGCAUUAGAAACUGGCAGGCUGGAGUCUUGUAGAGGGGGGUAGAAUUCCAGGUGUAGCGGUGAAAUGCGUAGAGAUCUGGAGGAAUACCGGUGGCGAAGGCGGCCCCUGGACAAAGACUGACGCUCAGGUGC